rnacentral:rRNA from 1 species
ACGGAGGGUGCAAGCGUUAUCCGGAUUUACUGGGUUUAAAGGGUGUGUAGGCGGGCCAUUAAGUCAGGGGUGAAAUCCCGGAGCUCAACUCCGGAACUGCCUUUGAUACUAUUGGUCUUGAAUAUUGUUGAGGUGGGCGGAACGGGUCAUGUAGCGGUGAAAUGCAUAGAUAUGACCCGGAACACCGAUUGCGAAGGCAGCCCGCUAAGCAAUGAUUGACGCUGAGGCACGAAAGCGUGGGGAUCAAACAGGA